GCCUCUGCAUCUCAAUUGGUUAAGUUAUGUUAUAGCUUUACCUUGGAAUUAUGUUAAGUUUUUUUAUAUUUUUUGAGCCUUCUCAUUUGGUAUGUGACUGUGUAGCAUCCUGUCUCUAUGGAACUUGGUGGUAAAAUUCCAAUUGUAGGUUUUUGAAGUUACAGAUCUUGAUAAAGCUGCCGAGAUGACUAUUUUUGGUUGCUUUUGGACAAAUGGCCAAAUCUAUAGUGCAACACCUCCCCUUCUACUGCAUGGCCUGCAGUGGUGUACUAAGAUUCGUCAUGGAAAGUGGUAACAAGGGUUGUUAGGUUGUUUCCUUAACUGUAGAGU